UACGUAGGGACCAAGCGUUGUUCGGAUUUACUGGGCGUAAAGGGCGCGUAGGCGGCAAUUCAAGUCAUCUGUGAAAUCUCCGGGCUUAACUCGGAACGGUCAGAUGAUACUGCUUUGCUAGAGUGCGGAAGGGGCAAUCGGAAUUCUCGGUGUAGCGGUGAAAUGCGUAGAUAUCGAGAGGAACACCUGAGGUGAAGACGGGUUGCUGGGCCGACACUGACGCUGAGUGCGCGAAAGCCAGGGGAGCAAACGGG
rnacentral:rRNA from 1 species